GUGGCCCUUGGCUGUGCUGGUCCCUCUCUGUCUUCAGGGCUGAAAGGAGUACUAGAUUUGCUUGCUGGUGGGCCUGUGCUCCCUGUUUCUGAGUAAAGCAUCUCUUCGAAAUUUGUUCUCAUCUUUCUGAACCAAAAUGAAAUGACACUUCCAUAAUACAUUUGUUAGACACCUGUGAGGCAUGAUCUUAUCUCCUCAACUAAGCAAUUGUGUAAAGGCCCAAAGGACCUGCCGAGAACCCAGAGCAGAGUACCAGGGCAGGGUCUCCCUGAUGCUGCCAGCCAGCAGUGAUCGUUCCCUGCACAUGGCCCCAGGGACACAGUGCUCUGUGGUAGGCAGAGUGUGAUGGCCACUGCUAGAUUGCCCCUUCAAUUCAGGGUCACAACUCAGGCAGCUGUCCUUUUCCCCAGGGCACCUGUUCCCACCUGUGCAUCAGGUGGUUCUCCUCCAGUGUUAUUGACAAAGGAGGGAAGCACUUCGCUUCCACUUGUUCUGUAUCAUUCAUUCCAUGUGCCCUCAUCUCCUAGAACAGCACAGGACACCUUCAGUAGUGGUGCCACCUUUCUGUGGGUCCUCUGGGGAAACGUGAAUUUUCCCUCACUCUCCUGCUGUCUGUUGCUUUCUUCAUCCAGCCCUAGCUUACUCAGUCACACCCACAUUCCUCUCUAGAGAUGCUAACCUCUGGGUUUUCCAGCUGGUUACUACCUCACUGAUUAACCUGAACGUCCUAUAUUUCUACUGGCCUUUGGGGAGAGAGGUCCCCUAUCUCUGUUUCUUUACCUUGGUAGAAUGGCGC
rnacentral:lncRNA from 1 species